rnacentral:rRNA from 1 species
CAGCCGCCGCGGUAAUACGUAGGGUGCAAGCGUUAAUCGGAAUUACUGGGCGUAAAGCGUGCGCAGGCGGUUAUAUAAGACAGAUGUGAAAUCCCCGGGCUCAACCUGGGAACUGCAUUUGUGACUGUAUAGCUAGAGUACGGCAGAGGGGGAUGGAAUUCCGCGUGUAGCAGUGAAAUGCGUAGAUAUGCGGAGGAACACCGAUGGCGAAGGCAAUCCCCUGGGCCUGUACUGACGCUCAUGCACGAAAGCGUGGGGAGCAAACAGGAUUAGACCCCCGUAGUCCCUGUCUCUUAUACAC